rnacentral:lncRNA from 1 species
UGGCCUGGGGGCUUCCCCCAGUUCCCGGCUCCUGCUGCACUGCGUGCACUUCCUUGUCCCCAGCGGCUCUUUCAGGGUGCAACAUCUGUUCUGCGCAGGCUGUAGGAGUCACAGUGGCCCCCAGACAAGGACACGUCAGCGUCUUUGAAGUGCCCUGGCUGGCAGAGCUCCCUGCUAUUGUGGGGCUGGGUGGCUCUCUCCUCGCAGCUCCUGGAAUGACAAGCUUGCAGGAGGCCCUGGCGGCCUUGGCAGCCGGGCCAAUGUUUAGACAGUUUCUUCUGCUGUUUGAAUAAGAGCCUCAGCGGGAUUGCAUCUCUGCUUCACCUCCUCUUCUGUGGCCGGAGGAUGGGCCGCCCAGCAUCCGGAGCUGCCUGUAAAGUUCCUCUCAGCGCCUGCAGAAGCUUUGUAGAGGUGCAGCUGACUGUGAUCAGGGGCUUUAUUUGUCUGUGGAAUCUGGGAGCCAGUGGGAGCCAGUGUGAGAAAGGCGAGGUGUACAAGCCUGCCGUCGGAAGUGUUCCAAUCCAAGUUUCUGGAAUUUCAAGCUGCAUGGCAUUAGGUAAGUUACUUAGCCAUUGUUGCCUCAGUUUCCUCAUCUGUAAAAGAAUGAUGGUCACC